CCUACGGGAGGCAGCAGUGAGGAAUAUUGGUCAAUGGACGCAAGUCUGAACCAGCCAUGCCGCGUGCAGGAAGACGGCUCUAUGAGUUGUAAACUUCUUUUGUACGAGGGUAAAUCCCGAUACGUGUAUCGUGUUGACAGUAUCGUACGAAUAAGGAUCGGCUAACUCCGUGCCAGCAGCCGCGGUAAUACGGAGGAUUCAAGCGUUAUCCGGAUUUAUUGGGUUUAAAGGGUGCGUAGGCGGUUCGAUAAGUUAGAUGUGAAAUCCCGGGGCUCAACUCCGGCACUGCCUUUGAUACUGUCGGGCUAGAGUUUAGUUGCGGUAGGUGGAAUGUAUGGUGUAGCGGUGAAAUGCAUAGAGAUCAUACAGAACACCGAUUGCGAAGGCAGCUUACCAAACUACGACUGACGUUGAGGCACGAAAGCGUGGGGAGCAAACAGGAUUAGAUACCCUAGUAGUC
rnacentral:rRNA from 1 species